CCUACGGGAGGCUGCAGUGAGGAAUAUUGGUCAAUGGACGAGAGUCUGAACCAGCCAAGUAGCGUGAAGGAUGACUGCCCAAGGGGUUGUAAACUUCUUUUAUAUGGGAAUAAAACGUUCAACGGGUGGGAUUUUGUAUGUACCAUAUGAUUAGGGAUCGGCUAACUCCGUGCCAGCAGCCGCGGUAAUACGGAGGAUCCGAGCGUUAUCAGGAUUUAUUGGGUUUAAAGGGAGCGUAGGUGGAUUGUUAAGUCAGUUGUGAAAGUUUGCGGCUCAACCGUAAAAUUGAAGUUGAAACUGGCAGUCUUGAGUACAGUAGAGGUGGGCGGAAUUCGUGGUGUAGCGGUGAAAUGCUUAGAUAUCACGAAGAACUCCGAUUGCGAAGGCAGUUCACUGGACUGCAACUGACACUGAGGCUCGAAAGUGUGGGUAUCAAACAGGAUUAGAUACCCUUGUAGUC
rnacentral:rRNA from 1 species